rnacentral:pre_miRNA from 1 species
UCUGCUCAUUACGGCACUUCUCUGCUCAUCACGGCACUUCUCUGCUCAGAUGAGCAGAGAAGUGCCGUAAUGAGCAGAGAAGUGCCGUAAUGAGCAGAG